UUAAAUUGAAGAGUUUGAUCAUGGCUCAGAUUGAACGCUGGCGGCAGGCCUAACACAUGCAAGUCGAACGGUAACAGGAAGCAGCUUGCUGCUUUGCUGACGAGUGGCGGACGGGUGAGUAAUGUCUGGGAAACUGCCUGAUGGAGGGGGAUAACUACUGGAAACGGUAGCUAAUACCGCAUAACGUCGCAAGACCAAAGAGGGGGACCUUCGGGCCUCUUGCCAUCGGAUGUGCCCAGAUGGGAUUAGCUAGUAGGUGGGGUAAAGGCUCACCUAGGCGACGAUCCCUAGCU
rnacentral:rRNA from 1 species